rnacentral:lncRNA from 1 species
GUUAAACAAGUGCUUGAAGGCAGUAUGCUUGGUAAAAGUCAUCGCCAUUCUCUAAUCUUGAGUACCCAGGGACACGAUACACUGCGGAAGGCUGCAGGGACCUCUGCCCAGGAAAGCCAGAACAAGCCCUGUGAAAAACAAGCUGCUGUCCCUGCUAGAGGCAUCCUGCAAUCCAUGGAUGUUUAUCACCAAGCCAUUGUUAACAUGAGGAUCCAGUAUCUGCCGGAGGAGCCCCACCUUCUGCUACUAUUAUGUUCUUCAGAUGAGUAGAAGAGAGUGGGGAGGGAGAGAGCAGGAAGAAGAAAGGAAGAAUAAUGUCUUGAAAUUGAUGAUGCAUAUCAUAAAUUAUUACUCACCCCAUGUUCCCACCCUCGAGAGACCUCCAAACAAUCACCAUGCCACAGUGAACAUUC